AACGAACGCUGGCGGCAUGCCUAACACAUGCAAGUCGAACGAGACCUUCGGGUCUAGUGGCGCACGGGUGCGUAACGCGUGGGAAUCUGCCCCUUGGUUCGGAAUAACAGUUAGAAAUGACUGCUAAUACCGGAUGAUGACUUCGGUCCAAAGAUUUAUCGCCAAGGGAUGAGCCCGCGUAAGAUUAGGUAGUUGGUGGGGUAAAGGCCUACCAAGCCGACGAUCUUUAGCUGGUCUGAGAGGAUGAUCAGCCACACUGGGACUGAGACACGGCCCAGACUCCUACGGGAGGCAGCAGUGGGGAAUAUUGGACAAUGGGCGAAAGCCUGAUCCAGCAAUGCCGCGUGAGUGAUGAAGGCCUUAGGGUUGUAAAGCUCUUUUACCAGGGAUGAUAAUGACAGUACCUGGAGAAUAAGCUCCGGCUAACUCCGUG
rnacentral:rRNA from 1 species